rnacentral:rRNA from 1 species
GAUGAACGCUGGCGGCGUGCCUAAUACAUGCAAGUCGAGCGAACAGACGAGGAGCUUGCUCCUCCGACGUUAGCGGCGGACGGGUGAGUAACACGUGGAUAACCUACCUAUAAGACUGGGAUAACUUCGGGAAACCGGAGCUAAUACCGGAUAAUAUAUUGAACCGCAUGGUUCAAUAGUGAAAGACGGUUUUGCUGUCUCUUAUAGAUGGAUCCACGCCGCAUUAGCUAGUUGUUAAGGUAACGGCUUACCAAGGCAACGAUGCGUAGCCGACCUGAGAGGGUGAUCGGCCACACUGGAACUGAGACACGGUCCAGACUCCUACGGGAGGCAGCAGUAGGGAAUCUUCCGCAAUGGGCGAAAGCUUGACGGAGCAACGCCGCGUGAGUGAUGAAGGUCUUCGGAUCGUAAAACUCUGUUAUUAGGGAAGAACAAAUGUGUAAGUAACUAUGCACGUCUUGACGGUACCUAAUCAGAAAGCCACGGCUAACUACGUG